GACGGCGGAUGAGCACUGGAAGUUGUUGAGGAGGGUUGAGUCUUGGGUGGAGAUACUGAAUGUUGCAGAGGAUAGGUUGUAGGUUUGGUACACGAAGGGGAAGAAGUAGAGGCGGAUGAAGUGGCGGCCUUGUUUUUGGAUGGGGAAGGAGUAGGAGGACGGACCAGUGAAGAUGCGGGCGGUCUCGUAGAGGACGGGGCUGUCGACGGAUCCAACAGAAUUGGCUGAAACAUUGGCUAGGAUGUUCUGAGGAGUUUUGAGGGUGGUGGCACUGGAGGUGUCGGCGGCGAACACUCUGGUACCGACGGUGGUGUUGGUAUUCGAGCCACAGUCAAUCAGGUAGUUGUCU
rnacentral:misc_RNA from 1 species